rnacentral:rRNA from 1 species
UUGGAGGGCAAGUCUGGUGCCAGCAGCCGCGGUAAUUCCAGCUCCAAUAGCGUAUAUCAAAGUUGUUGCAGUUAAAAAGCUCGUAGUUGAAUUUCGGGAUUGACGUGAUGGUCAUGCCUUAAGGGGUAUGAACUGUUACUGUUGAUUUCUCACCUUCUGGAGAAACUUGAUGUCCUUUAUUGGGUGUCUUGCGGAUCCAGGACCUUUACCUUGAAAAAAUUAGAGUGUUUAAAGCAGGCAUUUUUGCUCGAAUACAUUAGCAUGGAAUAAUAGAAUAGGACGGCAUGGUUCUAUUUUGUUGGUUUCUAGGAUUACCGUAAUGAUUAAUAGGGAUAGUUGGGGGCAUUAGUAUUCAAUUGUCAGAGGUGAAAUUCUUGGAUUUAUUGAAGACUAACUACUGCGAAAGCAUUUGCCAAGGAUGUUUUCAUUAAUCAAGAACGAAAGUUAGGGGAUCGAAGACGAUCAGAUACCGUCGUAGUCUUAACCAUAAACUAUGCCGACUAGGAAUCAGACGAUGUUAAUUUUUUAAUGACUCGUUCGGCGCCUUACGGGAAAC